rnacentral:antisense_RNA from 1 species
UGCAAUGCUCUGCUGUGUGCCGGCGGACUUCGGUCCGGCCGGGUGUCCAUAACCGGUCUUCUCACCUCGCACAUAGCUGCCACCUCU